rnacentral:rRNA from 1 species
UGGGGAAUAUUGGACAAUGGGGGAAACCCUGAUCCAGCAAUGCCGCGUGGGUGAAGAAGGCCUGCGGGUUGUAAAGCCCUUUCGCCUGGGAAGAAAAGCCUGGUGCUAAUACCGCCGGGUCUUGACGUUACCAGGAGAAGAAGCACCGGCUAACUCCGUGCCAGCAGCCGCGGUAAUACGGAGGGUGCGAGCGUUAAUCGGAAUUACUGGGCGUAAAGCGCGCGUAGGCGGUGGCGUGAGUCGGGCGUGAAAGCCCCGGGCUUAACCUGGGAAUUGCGUUCGAUACUGCGCUGCUAGAGUCUGGGAGAGGGAAGGGGAAUUCCGGGUGUAGCGGUGAAAUGCGUAGAUAUCCGGAGGAACACCAGUGGCGAAGGCGCCUUCCUGGCCCAAGACUGACGCU